rnacentral:lncRNA from 1 species
CGGCCGCGAUGAGGGAACAGCCCUCGUUUGCCUGGCGCUGAUACUCGAGGCUGUGGCGGUAGUGGAAUGCAAAAGCCAAGACUAAUGGAAACAGGGCCCAAAGACCCCUGCAGGAUGCCUGAGGCAAGUUCACCCAGGCGAACUCCACAGAACGUCCCCUACCAGGACCUUCCUCACCUGGUCAAUGCGGAUGGACAGUACCUCUUUUGUAGGUACUGGAAGCCCAGUGGCACACCCAAGUAAGUCCUCUCCCUCUGCUCCUCCUUCAAGGCACCUCCUCCUCCUCCUCCUCGGUCAUCAUGGGUCCAUCCUUCCUGUGACCUGCCUCUCAUGCCACUGACACACCUGGCACAGUGGUGUUAGCAGAGUUGAGAGCUGUACUUUAUGGUUUUCUUAACAAUGAGGGCCCAAGAGUUCUCUUUUCACUACAACUAGGAUAGGAGUCCACUGUCUGGCAAUUUUCAGAGUCAUAUGACUUUUUUUUUUUU